GUUGCAUAGACACCAUUAAUAUGUCAAAAUAAAGUGUACCUGUAAAGGGUAUGAAGGCACGAUUUGGUAUUAUAAAUGUCCUUGGCAUGUUUUAGAAAGAGUUUAGUUUCAUUGUAUUGUGCUCAGUCCUCUCAAAAGAACUUCACAAAGGGUAAAAGGCUAACUAUUAUAUAUUCCCUUUUAGAGACAGUGUAAACAAUAACUUUAAAGCUCGAACAAAAAUGAUGCUUUCUUAUUGAUUCAGGCAUCAGCCAUUUGGGCCACUCUUUACUAAAUUCUUGACAAAGACAAAGCUUUUAUGGUUCAGGUGGACCUUGCUACACGCAGUUCUACUAUUCGUGAUUUUGUGUAUCUGCAGUCCACAAAUAGCCACCCGACCUCGACAUACGUGGGCAUCUAAAGGGUUUAUACCCACAUACCUGCUGUUGCUAGGUGGCUGGAAAUGACCUCCGAGGUCAUUUCUGGCCACCAUUUUGUAUGAAGGAGCCAUUUUGUGGCUCAUCUGUUGAAAAACAGAGAGAUUCCCCCCCACAAUUUUUCCUGGAAAAUAGCCAGACUAACAGAUUUGGAGGGCACUACUGGACAGAUAGACACCUGCGGAGCAUGGGAUGGCACUUUCUUUCAAGUAAUCUUGCCUUAAUUUUUCACUGUUUUUGGACUCCCCCCACCACGUUUGCAGAAACCUAGCCUCUCAAUUCCCACAGAUGCAAUGACUUGCUGUUUGCGAUUUCGUUACUCGCAGUUGUAGGUGAGGAACAGAACCCACGCGAAUAACGAGGUAUGGAAGGUUUUGGACAGCCUUUAUGGGGCUAGUUUCACUUUGGAUGAGAGAAACAUGGUCUCUUUACAGAAAAGGUGCAGAAGAAGGCAACCAAGAUGAUCGGGGGCCUAGAGGACCUUCCUUACAAGGCAAGGCUACAGCACAAAGACGACUGGAAAAGAUGACUGAGGGGAGACAUAAGAGAUGUUUAUAAAAUCAUGAUGUAGAGAAAGUAGAUAUAAUUUUUUCUCCCUCUUGCAUAACACUAGAACCAGGGGUCAUCCUGUGAAACUGAUUGGCAAUAAAUUUAGUACCACCAAAAGGAAUACUUCUUCAUGCAA